GUGCAAUGUUUAUUUUGAUUGGCAUUUCCUAAGCGCAACAACCAAGAGUCAUCGUUUCUUGUAAUAGCUUUCUACUCUUGGAUCCUUGAAAGAAUGGAAUGCUUCAAGCUUCAUGUACCACUCUCAUCAAUCAGUUCAUGCAUGAUUUGUGCCUUGAGGUGAUUGACAACCGAGGUGAGAGUUGUGCCAUCUUAAGAUUGACAAAGGAGAACAAGGUCGCUGAUUUGAAAGUAGCAAAGACGAGGAGACACCGCUGCCCACUAGAUUGGUUCUAGUAGAUGAGUUGUGUAAGAUCUUUAUGUACUUUCAUAUUCAUAUAGUGGAUUGUUCACCGGCAUAGUGCCCGCAGUUGUUUACCUCUUUGGAGGGUUUUACUGCGUCAACA